GGAUCUGUCCAACAACAACAUCUCCAUCAUCGUACCGAAAAACCUCAGAAGAAUCGGGUUUGCUGUGCUAACAAUCAAUAUCUCACGAAACCAUCUGGCAGUAAUUCCUGCAGACUCCUUUAAUUUUACCAGGAGACUAGAAAUCCUGAAUUUAGACCAUAACUUCAUCUCCAGCAUUCACAUUACGGCAUUCCGAUACACUCGAAUUCGAAAAUU